UACGUAGGCAGCGAGCGUUGUUCGGAGUUACUGGGCGUAAAGGGUGCGUAGGCGGUUGUUUAAGUUUGGUGUGAAAUCUCCCGGCUCAACUGGGAGGGUGCGCCGAAUACUGAAUGACUAGAGUCCGGAAGAGGAGAGUGGAAUUCCCGGUGUAGCGGUGAAAUGCGCAGAUAUCGGGAAGAACACCCGUGGCGAAGGCGGCUCUCUGGGACGGUACUGACGCUGAGACGCGAAAGCGUGGGGAGCGAACAGG
rnacentral:rRNA from 1 species